rnacentral:lncRNA from 1 species
ACUACCACUUCCUCCACUGCACAGCUAGGGAAUCUGGGUGUUUAGGUAACCUGUCGCAGGUCACUCAGCAGAAUCAGGCUUGAAUCCAGACAGUGUGAUUCCAAAGCCCAUACCCCUCACCACUUCUCGAAGCAUUCUACUAAUUUCUGUCAGAACUAUGGGUCAUUUAGAAAAGGUAACCAUUUUUCCUUUGAGGCUCAGCCUCUUCACUCCUUGUCUAUUCCUUCCACUUUCCUUCCUGCUUCCUGUCAGGCUGUCUAAUGUAUACCUUUGGAUUUCCUCAGUGUUCUUUUCCGGGCACCGCGAGGAACCUGGCCUCCCUGUGGCUCCCAGUUGCCCACAGGGCUGAGCCUGCUGGGAAACCCAAGCCGCUGGCCACUGGCGACAGACACAGCAGCACUGCCUGGGAAUUGUGAAGUUACUUACCUCCAUGUACACAUCGAGCUCCCAGACUCAGGUAAGACCACAUCCCCUGACCCUUCCAAGGGAUGCAUUUAUUUUCAUGGUUACACAGAAGUGAGGAGCUCUCAGACUCUCUGAGAGAACUGCUGAACUUAGCAAUGUAAACUCAAAGCAAAAUGAAUAGGUGCUGAUCUAAGCUUUCCUUCUCUUAUACUUACUCAUACUCUAAUGUGUACAGAGUAGGAAAUUUUGGAAACUUGGGAGUAAAACCUGCUUCAUUAAAUAUUUCUUUAGGGUUACUGGGAACUAAAAGUUUGGUGAAAAUUUCUCUGGAAGCGCUUAGGGUCAUUUUAAAUAAAUUAUGAAUUGAUUAGCAGAUAUGCUGAAUUUGUUAGAUGCCUAUAUCAAGGGCUUC